GGCGUGGUGGAGCAGUGAUAACGUCACUGACAGACAAUCAGUUGACCCGGGUUCAAUUUCCGCCAUCGCGA
rnacentral:tRNA from 1 species